rnacentral:rRNA from 1 species
UUUUUGGAGAGUUUGAUCCUGGCUCAGGACGAACGCUGGCGGCAUGCCUAACACAUGCAAGUCGAACGGGGCUUCUUCGGAAGCCAAGUGGCGAACGGGUGAGU